rfam:Loktanella sp. 3ANDIMAR09 PM07_017, whole genome shotgun sequence.
UGGCACCUACGGGGGCCUUCACAUCAGGGUCCGCGUCAGUGGGCCCGCCAAGCAAACGGAAGAAGCUA